UACGUAGGGUGCGAGCGUUGUCCGGAAUUAUUGGGCGUAAAGAGCUUGUAAGCGGUUUGUCGCGUCUGCCGUGAAAAUCCGGGGCUCAACCCCGGACUUGCGGUGGGUACGGGCAGACUAAAGUGUGGUAGGGGAGACUGGAAUUCCUGGUGUAGCGGUGAAAUGCGCAGAUAUCGGGAGGAACACCAGUAGCGAAGGCGGCACUCUGGGCCGGUACUGACGCUGAGGAGCGAAAGCGUGGGGAGCGAACAGG
rnacentral:rRNA from 1 species